GACGAACGCUGGCGGCAUGCCUAACACAUGCAAGUCGAACGAAAACUUCGGGUCUAGUGGCGCACGGGUGCGUAACGCGUGGGAACCUGCCCUUAGGUUCGGAAUAACUCCCCGAAAGGGGUGCUAAUACCGGAUAAUGUCUUCGGACCAAAGAUUUAUCGCGUUUGGAUGUGCCCGCGUUGGAUUAGCUAGUUGGUAGGGUAAAAGCCUAAUAAGGCGACGAUCCAUAACUGGUCUCAGAGGAUGAUCAGCCACACUGGGACUGAGACACGGCCCAGACUCCUACGGGAGGCAGCAGUGGGGAAUAUUGGACCACGGGCGAAAGCCUGAUCCAGCAAUGCCGCGUGAGUGAUGAAGGCCUUAGGGUUGUAAAGCGCUUUUAACCGUGCUGAUAAUGACAGUACCGGGAGAAUAAGCCCCGGCUAACUCCGUG
rnacentral:rRNA from 1 species